rnacentral:rRNA from 1 species
CGCGUAGGCGGACGUUUAAGUCGGGGGUGAAAUCCUGAGGCUCAACCUCAGAAUUGCCUUCGAUACUGGGCGUCUCGAGACCGGAAGAGGUGAGUGGAACUGCGAGUGUAGAGGUGAAAUUCGUAGAUAUUCGCAAGAACACCAGUGGCGAAGGCGGCUCACUGGUCCGGUUCUGACGCUGAGGCGCGAAAGCGUGGGGAGCAAACA